GGGGGCGUCAUGGUUUCGACGGGGUUGCUUGUGGCAGAGAGGCAUGCCGGGGUGGGUACACCCGUAAUCGCGCCCAAAACUAUAAGUGCCGAACCUCAGUUCGCUCUUGCUGCUUAAUUAGUUAAGUAGCCGAUCGCUCAAGCUUCGCCUAUGGGCCUGUACCGAUCGUCGCACAGUAGGCUGGUCAAAGCUGUUCCGUCUGUACGGCAAUGACGAGAUCGAUCAGACUGGUCGCCGGCGCAUCUUCGUCCGUUCUAAGUUCCGGUGACGAGACAAAAAUGAACCAGGAAAAAGCAUGAAAGCUCUCUGUCGUUGGUUUCUUCGGACGGGAGUUCGAUUCUCCCCGCCUCCACCA
rfam:Terriglobus roseus DSM 18391, complete genome.